ensembl:lncRNA
GGAGAAGCUCAAGUCAUACAUUCUCCCAUGUUACAUAUAUGUAUUUUCCAGAUAUCAAUCUCCAGCUGUGAAUGGUAGUCUUAGGUGAGAUCUGAAAUUCUAAGAUGUUCCAUCCCUCCUAGAUCUGGGAUCUAAUUUGGGAGGGGCCUUGGCAUGGCCUGAAAGUCUUUGCAGAGUGGCUGUUGCCACCUCUGAAGAGUUUUCUGGAAGUUUUGGUCAAAAAUGAAAUAGAACCAUAUUCAGAUGUAAUCUUUGGUUUCCAACUCUUCAGCUCUGUGGCCUUGGUGAGAUGAGUUAGACUGCAGUAGUUUGCCCCAGAAGCCUAUUAAUAUAAACCUUAUCUGAAACAAGCCCAUUAUUCUGAAAAGGCUUGUCAUUUUAUAUUCAAUCAUUGCUGCUGGCUCUUCCUUUGCACCUAACUGUCUCAUCUGGUUAUGUACGUGUACGUACAUCUGAGAGGUCACCUACAAAGAACUGACAUAACUUGGUUUUGCAUUUGAACUGCAAGGUUACACGCUUUGUUGCUCCCAUAGGCUGUAUUUCAUUGCACUUGAGAGGAUGUUUGCAUUCCAGUACUUUCUUUUUUCUUACCAUCCCCUUUUUCAGAGCAUGUGUCCCGCAGCCACUUGGCAGGGGAUGUGGGUGUUGUCCUUUCCCAUGUAGCAGCCUCUUGCUAUAUGGGAAAGUACUUGAAAUACGGGGAGGCCACCAGUAUUUUUUCCUCCCUGUUCCAUUCUACCAGGAGUUCUGAUGUCUCCCAUACUGGCCAGUUUCACCCUACUUCAUUUUGCCUUUCAUAGUGUCACUUUUAAAAGUGUGUCAGAAGACCAUCUGGGAAGGAGAGGAGCAUUAAGGUCUGCUGGUCUGUCACCUGUACCCCUGCAGAUGUGGCCCAGCCUGCCAACAAGGAAUAUAGAAAGUCAGCCUCCUUGAGCAAGGGAAGACUUGAACAAUCAGAAAGCCUCUUCCUCCCAGCAGGUGUUAUCCUUCCUCCUGCUCUUCUCAGACUGUUUCCAGCAGAUGUACCAAAGGAAUGGGUUUUGGUGGCAGUGUCAAAUGAAGGAAACACCUUCCCUCUCUGCCUCUGCUUCCUUCUUCCAGCUGCAUGCCACCAUGCUGCAGUGUUCACCCAGAUCUUCUGGCAAACCUGUACACCUGUACACAUCUUUGCACAGGGAAGAGAGCUGGGGCAAUCCCAGACAUGUGUAUGGUCUGGGAAAGAACUCAUUGAAAGCAGCCCUGCGGAGGAAGACUCGGGGACAAAAAAAGUUGGACGUGAGUUAGCAGUGUGCACGUGCAGCCCAGAAGGCCAUCUGGGAAUGGCUUUCAGAAGUCUUCAUAGCAUGUUUGUAUGUGAGAGGCAAAUAUCCCUGACAUUACCACGGUAUGGAUAAGGAAGCCUGAAAAGACGGGGCUAGCAGAUGUCACAGCACACCAUGAGUUUAGAAGCACAGAUUCAUUCAUCUUCAGUUGUGUUUCUAGCAAUAGUUCGCAGCAUAAGAAGGAAGUUACCUGCUCUUAGGCUUCUUAAACCCCAUGAUUUGGCACUCACAUUCAGGCAGUUUUGCUGCAUCAGUUGAAGAUUUGAGUGAAUUUUUAGCCAGAUCAAUCUUCAAAGGGCCAG